AAUGUUAUGAGCCAGGCAUGUAAAUAGGCUUACCACACAGCAGCCUAAAUAGAAAAUGACUGAGAGUUAAACGCACAUGAUGGUCUUAGGUGAUUAAAUAAGUUUCAAAAAGAUGAUAAACAUAUAAGUCUUGUUAAGCAUCUAUACUAAUGCUAAGUUAUAUAACAAGGGGCUCUUGCUACCUGUUUAUAUUGAGUAGACGAUCAGGCACAGCCCCUUGAAAGUGCAUUUGAAGGCGAAAGCAUAUGCUUGACCUUUCUUAAUGUGUGCCUAACGGAAGAAGCCACUCCAGCCUCUAGUGAUGGUGGCCCUUUUGUCAACACCCUUGAUAAAGCGGCAUGUGACAGCGGUAGUUCCGUCUCUAGUAGUGAUUGCAGCGGUAGUUCCAUCUCCAGCUAGCUGAAUAUUACCAAUUCAUCUUACCCAGACACACUGGUUGGAAAACCAAAUUAAAAUCCUCUUUAAUAGCACAUCCAGCGACACAAGAUAGCCCCUGAACGAGUACAAAGUAAUCCGGGGCACAAAGAGCAGUUAACCAUUAAAUCCCUCUCUGCCUAUACAAUAUGUAGCAUCCGAAGUUGUAAUUUAGAUUAAUAGCACAAGAGAUAUACGUAAGAACAAAAGGACAAACACAUCCGGAAAUAAUGCUUCCAGAUUUCAAAUCGAUAUUUGAGUAAAACAAAGUGGUUGUAAACAUAUGAACAAUUCAAAAAAGGGAACAACGCAUCAAGUGUAUUUGCUACCCGAAUUGCAAUUGUUUCACAGUGCUCCUCAGUUUAUUCAGGCGUUUGUACCCUAACUCCUCAAAUGUAACAAACUAUCAAGGGAAUAGUAUCAAAACUAAUUGAAUGUAGCUUGCAUAUAUUAUACAUAUUCAUUAUUUAUUGAGAUAGUAUAUCAACACUGAAAAUGCAUGCAUAUUAAUAAAACUGCACUACAACCACCCAUGCAUGCCACUGAAAAUUAAAUGAGCAGUUAGAACUAUUUUGUGGUGAUAAAACUAUGGGAGCACGUUGGCAAUACAGUUAUAAAAUAUACUAUCUUCAAGGAAAUCUGCAUUUAUAGCCCUAUUCGAUAGCAAAGCAUUUUCUACGUAUUUUGAGAAUACCACCUUUUUAAGACUACUAUGCUG
rnacentral:lncRNA from 1 species